ensembl:lncRNA
UACGAGCUGUACCGGUACAGAGUCAAUGUGGAGGCUAUAUACAGGGGGUACCGGUACAGAGUCAAUGUGGAGGCUAUAUACAGGGUAUUACGGUACAGAGUCAAUGUGGAGGCUAUAUACAGGGGGUACCGGUACAGAGUCAAUGUGGAGGCUAUAUACAGGGGGUACCGGUACAGAGUCAAUGUGGAGGCUAUAUACAGGGGGUACCGGUACAGAGUCAAUGUGGAGGCUAUAUACAGGGGGUACCGGUGAGUCAAUGUGGAGGCUAUAUACAGGGGGUACCGGUACAGAGUCAAUGUGGAGGCUACAUACAGGGGGUACUGGUACAGAGUCAAUGUGGAGGCUAUAUACAGGGGGUACCGGUACAGAGUCAAUGUGGAGGCUAUAUACAGGGGGUACCGGUACAGAGUCAAUGUGGAGGCUAUAUACAGGGGGUACCGGUACAGAGUCAAUGUGGAGGCUAUAUACAGGGGGU